AGUUUCCUGUUUAUCCUUCAGUUGAAAUCUCUGCUCACCUUGAAGAAGCCGAUUGUUCGAUGGGAAGACUCACUAGGAGCUGUAUCUCACUCCAUCUCAGCAACUGGGCUUACAGCUCUGAAAUUUUAUUCCCAGUUCAGGAUUGGAAGGCUGCUUUAAUUCAGGGAAAGUGGGGAAAAAAGGUUUGCCUUUGCCCAGCAGCACUGCAGGUGUCUGUCCCUCUGAAAGAGUCCCAGCGGUGUGGGUGUGCUGGAAAGAAAAAUCCCUGGUGACUUCACCCAGCUUGGCUUGUGGUGGUUACUCACAAUGAGGUUCUUAUCCUGUUUUCUCUUCAGCCUUUCCCUUGCUAUUACAGCUCUUGUAUCCUAUAGCAAGUAAGAGCAAAACAUUACAACUGUUCACACGUAGGAGAUGGAGGAGCUGCAUUAAGAGCCCAUCAGAUAGGAAGGCCUCAGGAGAAGGACCUCAGUUGGACACAGCGAAACACUGCAACUGCUUUAGCUGUGGUGUUCCUUGUUGGAACAGAUACAAGAAUCAGUCACAUCUUUGUCCUGGAGCUCCGCACCUCUUCAGGAGAAGUCCCCUGAUGUGAGAGGCGAUGGGUGAAUACUUGGUGUGAGCCAUAUGGACGGGAAGAAGUAUCCUAGACCCAAGAUGCAAGUUUACGGAUUGCAAGACAGGAGGCGAAACACUGAAACAGCAUCUAACCAAAAGAGUGAGGCUGAUCUUUUGAUAGAGGCAGAAGAGCAUGAGCAUUGCAAUUUGAGCUUGUCACAGAAGAUGUAUCACAAAGCUCAUAACAGGACCACUAAAAGGGUGGAAAAGCUGGUCUUUACAUGUAUGAAGCCUAUAAUUGUGUGUAAGUCUUCUUAUUUAGCAAAGCCUUCUUAUCUUCCAACUCUGCAUCGUAUUCCAGGUAGUUUCUCUCUGCCAUCUUUCUAGCAGGCUAUGGGCUCAAACAGGAGCACAGCAGGUGCUACCAGAACAUCAGGAAACCCUUACUCAUGGUGAAUGUGGUCCCUCACAGAUUGCCCAAGAAGGCUGUGAAGUCUCCAUCCUUGGAGAUUCCAAAGCCAUCUUGACCCGGUCCUGGGAAACUUGCUUCAGGUAUCCCUUCUUGAGCAAGGUGGUUGGGUCAGAUGACCCCCAGAAGUCCCUUCCAAUGCCCACCAUUCUAUGACUGAUUCUGUGGCUACUUGAUCAGAGCUGCUGACAUCUUGUUAUUCAAAGGCCUAAAGGCAUUGAACAAAAUCUGAUACUUAGUCUUAAUUUUGGGGAUGUUGCUUUUGGUGUUAGCAGCUGGUUGUAUUCCACUUUUAAGAAACUAACAGUUCCUUCAGCACAGAAUAGGUGAGAGAAAUGCUUUGAUUCUUGGUGGCAUAGGUUUUGAGCUUGCAGGAGGAAGGGCUGUAUCCAGGCUUCCUCUUCCAGGAGGAAAUGUGAAGAUUCCUGGAAGCAGGAUGAACACUAGUAAAUGGCUGGUAGUAUGAACACUGGGGAUGUACACCUCACAGCAGUUUGUAACAAAGACUUUAUCAGCUGGCUCUUGCAAAAGUUGAUUCUUAGUAUUCUAUAUUUUGUUUAGUAGUCAGAGGAUGAACUGUCUCUUGAGCUAGUCACACACCAAGUCAUGUCUUCUGUUUGGUCACUUCUCCCACGGAAAGAAACUGAUGAUAAACUGUAGACCAAGAAGUCAAUACUGAUUGCAAAAUAAAUUACCUGUCUCCUUGAACCUCCUGUCUGACCUCACUGAGCAGUAGGAAUAAGAAGACACCAGGGAGAAUUUUUUAUUAGGCUGCAAUCCUAGAAUAAGACAGCUAAAUUAAUCCAAAUUAAUUUCCUUUGGCGGCACAUUUUU